GAGUUCAGCUGGUGCUCCUGGCUGGCUAUAGGGAGCUGCAGCACCAUGGAUAGCUCAGUGCUGGCCUGAACACAGAAGAGCCCUGAGGGUAAAGAAGUGGAGUAGAAGAUGUAAAUGUAGUUUCAGGAUCAGAGUAGAUAACAUCUUCCUCCAUUAGCCAAAGGCU